rnacentral:rRNA from 1 species
UACGUAGGGUGCAAGCGUUGUCCGGAAUUAUUGGGCGUAAAGAGCUCGUAGGCGGUUUGUCGCGUCUGCUGUGAAAGCCCGGGGCUCAACCCCGGGUCUGCAGUGGGUACGGGCAGACUAGAGUGCAGUAGGGGAGACUGGAAUUCCUGGUGUAGCGGUGAAAUGCGCAGAUAUCAGGAGGAACACCGAUGGCGAAGGCAGGUCUCUGGGCUGUAACUGACGCUGAGGAGCGAAAGCAUGGGGAGCGAACAGG